UACGGGGGGGGCAAGCGUUGUUCGGAAUUACUGGGCGUAAAGGGCUCGUAGGCGGCGUCGUAAGUCAGGGGUGAAAUCCCGGAGCUCAACUCCGGAACUGCCCUUGAAACUGCAAUGCUAGAAUCUUGGAGAGGCGAGUGGAAUUCCGAGUGUAGAGGUGAAAUUCGUAGAUAUUCGGAAGAACACCAGUGGCGAAGGCGACUCGCUGGGCAAGUAUUGACGCUGAGGUGCGAAAGCGUGGGGAGCAAACAGG
rnacentral:rRNA from 1 species